ensembl:lincRNA
AGUACGCCCUCCUGGAUGAAUGCACCAGUGCCGUGAGCAUCGACGUGGAAGGCAAGAUCUUCCAGGCGGCCAAGGACGCAGGCAUUGCCCUGCUCUCCAUCACCCACCGGCCCUCCCUGUGGGAGUACCACACACACUUGCUACAGUUCGAUGGGGAGGGUGGCUGGAAGUUCGAGAAGCUGGACUCAGCUGCCCGCCUGAGCCUGACAGAGGAGAAGCAGUGGCUGGAGCAGCAGCUGGCGGGCAUUCCCAAGAUGCAGCGGCACCUCCAGGAGCUCUGCCAAAUCCCAGACGAGGCAGUGGCCCCAGCGCACGUGCCGGCACCUAGCCCGCAAGGCCCUGGUGGCCUCCAGGGUGCCUCCACCUGACACCACCCUCCCCAGCCCCUGCCCCGCCCCCAAGCUCGAAUCACAUGAAGGAGACAGCAGCACCCACCUGCGCACGCACCCCGCCCCUGCAUGCCUGGCCCCUCCUCCUAGAAGACCCUUCCCGACCUUGGGAAAGUAGAUGUGGAGGGUGGCGCCCUGUGUAACCCUCGCCCUGUCCCUCCCACUCCCUGGGGGGGCUGUUCCACAGUGAUUGGGCCCUGUCCAGGGCAGUGAGUCCUCUACUUUGCUCCGUGGAGGAAGCUGGGGUACAAGGGGCCCAGUUCUGGCCACACAGCAGCGCAGCCGAGCCCCAGGAGCCCCUCAGGCCACAGCCCCUGGUGCUGCAGGUGGCCUCCCUCCUCGUCAGUCUCUCAAAGACCCCACGGUCCAUGCCCUGAGGGUGGCCAGCCAAGGCUCCCAUCCCAUGCGAUGCCAUAAAAGCCGCCCAGUGGUACCCAUGGUCACACAGUGCGCCUCACCUGCAUCCUCUCCCCAACAAGAGCCCCGAAGAUCCCACGGGAGAGGGACGCACAGCACUGCCUGCAGAGCGAGAAUGUAGGCCCUGCCCCCUCGGCCCCUCACCUCCUCUUUCUACAGCCUAAUUUAUUGGAUUCCCUAUUCAUAGCCAUCUCCGUGGCCAAUGUGACUACCCUGCCAGCAGCGAGGGUGGCCCAGCCUCUGAGUACCCUGGGCCCCCAGCUCCCACUGAUGCCAAACCCAGCCCCUGUGGCCAUCACCCCGCCAGCCUACACUGCCAGCCACCACCUGGCCACACGGGCCUCUGCUUGCUAGCGGGGAGUGCGGACACCAUGUUCCCAGCUCAGUGCCAAAGAGGGGUCACCAGGGGGAGCUGUCUGCAGAGCCAGUGCCUGCCCGAGAGAGACCCCACCGCCACCGUGUGCCUUUCCCGGGCCCUCAGCCCUCAGGCCGGGCGCCAUCCCAAGUCCCCCCCAGUAAAAGCCUCCAUUGGCAAAUGCAGUCCUUCCUACCUGCCUCAGAGUCUGGUGGUGUCUGCUGCGGAUCUUGGGGAGAGAUGGAGGAGAGGGAGUGGGUUGCCUGUGGGGGAAAGAGUGAGUUUGGGAAAGGAGUGGGCCUGACCCCCAAGCCCCUCCGUGGGGGAAAGUCACCAGAAGACAUUGUCCAACAUGCCCUCCACCGAGCCUCACGCCAAUGCUCUUGGGAUUCCUGUGAUGGUGGCAGGGCAGAACCUGCAACAACAUUGCACAGAAAUACUGGCUGAGCCCAAAUAGGACUAGGGGAGGGGAUCAUGCUGGUCCCUGUGGGAGGAGCACGAAGGCAAGAGAAGGGAUGUCUAAGCUGCCACACAGGGUGCUGCUGGCCCUUCUAGGGAGAGGAGGCCACUUGUGCAGGGGCCUGGGGGGAACUGGGAGCACAGUGCAGGGUGUUCGUGCUGCAUGCAGGGGAAGGGAGGGCAGGGGAAGGGAGGGCUGCGGCCGGCGGGCCUUGGAGGCCACACUACAGAGACAGGACUUAGCCCAGAGGCCACCGAGG